rnacentral:rRNA from 1 species
UGGGGAAUUUUGGACAAUGGGGGAAACCCUGAUCCAGCCAUCCCGCGUGUGCGAUGAAGGCCUUCGGGUUGUAAAGCACUUUUGGCAGGAAAGAAACGGCGCGUGCUAAUACCAUGCGCAACUGACGGUACCUGCAGAAUAAGCACCGGCUAACUACGUGCCAGCAGCCGCGGUAAUACGUAGGGUGCAAGCGUUAAUCGGAAUUACUGGGCGUAAAGCGUGCGCAGGCGGUUCGGAAAGAAAGAUGUGAAAUCCCAGGGCUCAACCUUGGAACUGCAUUUUUAACUACCGGACUAGAGUAUGUCAGAGGGAGGUGGAAUUCCACGUGUAGCAGUGAAAUGCGUAGAUAUGUGGAGGAACACCGAUGGCGAAGGCAGCCUCCUGGGAUAAUACUGACGCUCAUGCACGAAAGCGUGGGGAGCAAACAGGAUUAGAUACCCCCGUAGUCC